AUACGGAGGAUGCAAGCGUUAUCCGGAUUUAUUGGGUUUAAAGGGUGCGUAGGCUGUUCGGAAAGUCAGGGGUGAAAGCCCGGCGCCUAACGCCGGAACUGCCUUUGAUACUUCCGAGCUGGAAUACGGAUGCCGUGGGAGGAAUGAGUAGUGUAGCGGUGAAAUGCAUAGAUAUUACUCAGAACACCGAUUGCGAAGGCAUGUCACGAAUCCGUCAUUGACGCUGAGGCGCGAAAGCGUGGGGAUAGAACAGGAUUAGAUACCCUGGUAGUCCACGCCGUAAACGAUGGGCGCUCGUCGUCGGCGACAGACAGUCGGCGGCCAAGCGAAAGCGAUAAGCGCCCCACCUGGGGAGUACGGUCGCAAGGCUGAAACUCAAAUGAAUUGGCGGGG
rnacentral:rRNA from 1 species